ACGGGUGAGUAACACGUAUGCAAUCCACCUGUAACAGGGGGAUAACCCGGAGAAAUCCGGACUAAUACCCCAUAAUAUGGGCGCUCCGCAUGGAGAGCCCAUUAAAGAGAGCAAUUUUGGUUACAGACGAGCAUGCGCUCCAUUAGCCAGUUGGCGGGGUAACGGCCCACCAAAGCGACGAUGGAUAGGGAUUCUGAGAGGAAGGUCCCCCACAUUGGAACUGAGACACGGUCCAA
rnacentral:rRNA from 1 species